rnacentral:misc_RNA from 1 species
GUUGAACGUAUCAAUCGUCGGUCGUCCGAAUCAUGCCGACGCAUUGGAUCGUCGAGGCGCGGGUGAACGAUACCCGUAGGGGGGUUCGAGCGGCGGUCGGUCCGAAAGGGCCGCGCCGUCGUCUCGAGCUGCUCGCGCCUCGUCGUCCGAAGAACAGAAGGGACCGCGCGACCACGCCGGCCGCACGUCCGAAGUCCGCAGGCGGACGGGGACGGCGACUCGGAUACCAUCGUGACCGAUCGGCCGUCGCCCGCCGUGGCGGAACGGUCGGCGUGGAAGCGAAGGACCCAGACACACGAAGCUCGAAUCGGCGGGCCGUCCCGGCAACGGGCGCGGUCCCCGACCAGACUU